AGAGUUUGAUCAUGGCUCAGAACGAACGCUGGCGGCGCGCUUAACACAUGCAAGUCGAGCGGUCUUGGGGCAACUCAAGGCAGCGGCGGACGGGUGCGUAACACGUGGGUAAUCUGCCCUCGAGCUCGGGAUAACUCGCCGAAAGGCGAGCUAAUACCGGAUAAGCCCCCGUGGACUUCGGUCCAUGAGGGAAAAGGAGCAAUUCACUUGAGGAUGAGCCCGCGGCCCAUCAGCUAGUUGGCGGGGUAACGGCCCACCAAGGCAACGACGGGUAUCUGGUCUGAGAGGACGGCCAGACACACUGGAACUGAGACACGGUCCAGACUCCUACGGGAGGCAGCAGUGGGGAAUCUUGCGCAAUGGGCGAAGGCCUGACGCAGCGACGCCGCGUGUGCGAUGAAGGUCUUCGGAUCGUAAAGCACUGUCGCGGGGGAAGAAACCUGACGGUACCCCGAGAGGAAGCACCGGCUAACUCUGUGCCAGCAGCCGCGGUAAUACAGAGGGUGCGAGCGUUGUUCGGAAUUAUUGGGCGUAAAGCGCUGGUAGGUGGCUUGACAAGUCGCGUGUGAAAUCUUCCGGCUCAACCGGAAAAGUGCGCGCGAAACUGUCGAGCUUGAGUGCCGGAGAGGGUCGCGGAAUUCCCGGGUGUAGAGGUGAAAUUCGUAGAUAUCGGGGAGGAACACCAGAGGCGAAGGCGGCGACCUGGAAGGUAACUGACACUGAGCAGCGAAAGCGUGGGGAGCAAACAGGAUUAGAUACCCUAGUAGUCC
rnacentral:rRNA from 1 species